GAUCAUGGCUCAGAUUGAACGCUGGCGGCAGGCCUAACACAUGCAAGUCGAGCGGUAGAGAGGUGCUUGCACCUCUUGAGAGCGGCGGACGGGUGAGUAAUGCCUAGGAAUCUGCCUGGUAGUGGGGGAUAACGCUCGGAAACGGACGCUAAUACCGCAUACGUCCUACGGGAGAAAGCAGGGGACCUUCGGGCCUUGCG
rnacentral:rRNA from 1 species